UUCAAAAUCUUGAUCUUUUCGACCAGAACUGUUUCCUCUCUGAUGUUCUUUAGAGUUCCUUGAGGGAAGAAGAAGAACUAACGUGCCCGGGGAUAUCUCCAAGUACUUUUCUUUGUUCGCUCACCACAUCAAGCAGAAUCAUGUCUGGAAGACAAGGUGGCAAGAAGAAGCCUCUGAAGCAGCCCAAGAAGGAUUCUGCGGAUAUGGACGAUGAUGACAUGGCUCUGAAGCAGAGAAUGAGGGAGGAGAAGAAAGCGCUGGAGGCAGCCAAGGCCAAGGCAUCACAGAAAGGACCAAUGGGAGGUAGUGGCAUCAAGAAAUCUGGAAAGAAGUGAAAUUGGCGCUGGCCAUCAAGCCGUGCGAACUGCUCACUCUCAGAUUCGUGCUAUGCAUUCGCUUGCCCGCUACUUGCUACGGCUGAUACAGCAUAUUGUAUUGUUAUGCUGAACUGGAAAAGAACUUGUUAUCAGAGAUGUAGAAAUUGACAUGAUCAUGACCAUCUGUGUUCUUCUCUGUGCUUUAAAACUGUUACGAGUAAUGCUGCCACUUUCUUUCUCGCUACUUCUGCUGCUGCCGUGUUCUCUGUGUUGGCUUUGCUGGUUGUCUUGAGUUGCGUGUUAUCCCCACGCAGGGAGCAUUCUUAUAGUGAAAGCCCUACCAGAGACAGUGUUGUAUGUCUUUGUGUCAGCCUGCUUUUCCAAUCAGGUCUUCUGCAAUACGCUUAGUGAUGUGUUUGGUAGCAGCAAUGCUGCGAAGAUAUAAAAUUAAAAAAGAAAGAAAAAAAGUA